AGUGAAAAUUUUGUGAAGUGAAAGUGUUCGAACAAGCCUUUGAUCUGGAAUUGACGACUACGAUGGUUGCAUUACUAUUAGCGUUUCGGAUGUGAAGCGUGAACGUAAUGAAAAACGGACCAAAAGUUUUUAUUUUCAGGAGGUUUACAUGUUUUAGGUAGAAAAACCCUCUUUGCACGUACAACAACGUGUUGAGUGUCAACAAUGAUUGGUUUUUAAUCCAAACGAUUUAAAAUUUAACUGAUUAACUGAUUUAUAAUUAGUUAA